rnacentral:rRNA from 1 species
CACGUAGGGGGCGAGCGUUGUCCGGAAUUACUGGGCGUAAAGGGUGCGUAGGCGGUCUGUUAAGUCAGGUGUGAAAGACCUGGGCUCAACCCGGGAUGUGCAUCUGAGACUGGCGGACUUGAGUGCAGGAGAGGGAAGUGGAAUUUCUAGUGUAGCGGUGGAAUGCGUAGAUAUUAGGAAGAACACCAGUGGCGAAGGCGGCUUCCUGGACUGUAACUGACGCUGAGGCACGAAAGCGUGGGGAGCGAACAGGAUUAGAUACCCUGGUAGUCCACGCCGUAAACGAUGGAUACUAGGUGUAGGUAUCGUAGGAUAUCUGUGCCGGAGUUAACGCAAUAAGUAUCCCGCCUGGGGAGUACGGCCGCAAGGUUGAA